rnacentral:rRNA from 1 species
CCGGAUUAAUACCGCAUACGAUCUACGGAUGAAAGCGGGGGACCUUCGGGCCUCGCGCUAUAGGGUUGGCCGAUGGCUGAUUAGCUAGUUGGUGGGGUAAAGGCCUACCAAGGCGACGAUCAGUAGCUGGUCUGAGAGGACGACCAGCCACACUGGGACUGAGACACGGCCCAGACUCCUACGGGAGGCAGCAGUGGGGAAUUUUGGACAAUGGGCGAAAGCCUGAUCCAGCAAUGCCGCGUGUGUGAAGAAGGCCUUCGGGUUGUAAAGCACUUUUGUCCGGAAAGAAAUCCUUGGCUCUAAUACAGUCGGGGGAUGACGGUACCGGAAGAAUAAGCACCGGCUAACUACGUGCCAGCAGCCGCGGUAAUACGUAGGGUGCAAGCGUUAAUCGGAAUUACUGGGCGUAAAGCGUGCGCAGGCGGUUUGCUAAGACCGAUGUGAAAUCCCCGGGCUCAACCUGGGAACUGCAUUGGUGACUGGCAGGCUAGAGUAUGGCAGAGGGGGGUAGAAUUCCACGUGUAGCAGUGAAAUGCG